GUCCCCGUAGCUCAGUGGAUAGAGCAUCAGCUUGCGGAGCUGGGGGUCGCAGGUUCAAAUCCUGCCGGGGACG
rnacentral:tRNA from 6 species